AUGUCACGGACAAGAAUUAACGUUGUUGAAUCUAAUGAAGAAUAUAUGAUGAAAGAACCGAUCGGACAUCAUAAUUCUGCAGAAAACGAUGUCGAAUCAUCCGAUGUCCAUGAAAGAACUACUAAUGAUAAAGAAGGUUUCACAAAUUGUGAUGACGCUGAUGCGGAUGAAACCGAAGAUGGUGAAAAUGCAAAAACAAAAGAGCGUAAGAAGAGGAAGCUGAAAUAUAUUUGGAACCUUCCAAAAGGGAAAAGGAUAAUGGUUCGCUGCAAUGACAUAGAUCAGCCAAUUGGAAAAGAGGAUAAACAUCUUGGGGAUUAUCUUGGCUCAGUUGCAAGGAAUUGA
rnacentral:rRNA from 1 species